CGGGGGAGGCCGGAUCCUGGGCUGUGUCCCGGCGCCCUGUGCUCCGGGGUCUGCGAUGUUGGAUUCGCGCUCCCGCCCCGCAGCCCCCU
rnacentral:pre_miRNA from 1 species